AAUAAUUAUUUACUUCUCACAAUAUUAAUUCCUUUCGAAUACCUCUUAGCCUUAAAAAAAAAAAAAAAAUCUUCGGCACCUUUGUUUCGACUUCCCCUUAUUCGUCAUAAACAUUCCAACUUAACAAACCCAACCACCACAGGACAUACUAUACAAGUGCUUCUGUCUUCCGUCUAUUAGAACCCCACCUUAAGCAACCGACGCAAUUCAAGCAUUACCAGCCGCCAUUCACCGGGUCGACGUAUCACUUAGCCGGCGGCUUAGACUCGCGAUUGAAUCUCACGCUAUUCAAGGACACCUACACUAAUUAUUAAAGGUUAGCAGGGAUGGCGGGAAAGUGUGAAGAGAGCUAAAAUAAACAAGUUGGAAUCUUAGUGUGUAGUUUUAAUAAUGUAUGAAAUAAAUUAUCAGGAAUAAAUCUUUUGUAAACUCGUUUGGAUAAAAAUAAAAUAAGCCCUUUUGUA